rnacentral:tRNA from 1 species
GCCCGGGUGGUGUAGUGGCCCGUCAUACGACCCUGUCACGGUCGUGACGCGGGUUCAGAUCCCGCCUCGGCGCU